rnacentral:rRNA from 1 species
CAAUAGCGUAUAUUAAAGUUGUUGCAGUUAAAAAGCUCGUAGUUGGAUUUGUGGCGUACGGUGUGUUCCGGGCACUUGUUGUCUGAGUAACCUGCUGUUGCCAUCCUUGGGUGGAACCUGUGUGGCAUUAGGUUGUCGUGCAGGGGAUGCCCAUCAUUUACUGUGAAAAAAUUAGAGUGUUCAAAGCAGGCUUAUGCCGUUGAAUAUAUUAGCAUGGAAUAAUGAGAUAGGACUUUUUUGCUAUUUUGUUGGUUUGCGCAAAGAGGUAAUGAUUAAUAGGGACAGUUGGGGGUAUUCGUAUUCCAUUGUCAGAGGUGGAAUUCUUGGAUUUUUGGAAGACGAACUACUGCGAAAGCAUUUACCAAGGAUGUUUUCAUUAA